CAGAUGCCAAAUGGUUGGAGGGUUAGAGUUUAAAAAUUCAACAAAGAGAUGCCAUAGAUUCUAUCAUUCGAGUAAGUUUCUUCGAUCCUACUCCUUUUGCAUUUUUUUAGUAACUAACUCACUUGCUUUUAUAGUUUGGUCAUUAUGUUGCUAUUUUUACCAACUCUAUAAAGGUGGCACAAUCGAAGGUCAUCAAUGCCCAUACCG
rnacentral:lncRNA from 1 species